UAAGGUGACACAGAAGAUCCCAGUCACCCACGAAAAAAGCCCCCUUGCCCCCAGCAACAAUGGUUUGUGGGUCUGUCCCAGCUUCCAGGCCUGCCUUCUGCCAGCACAUUGGCCCGACUUCUGAGCCCUAAUGCCAGGGCAGACAGAGAGGAGCCCUGACUCGCCUGUGCUAGGAAACUCCAUCCGAAGCUUCCACAGUGGAACCGCCUUGCGUGGGCGAGGUUAUGGCCUAGAACUGCACAAGGAAGACACCUUCUGCUCGCACUUUAAGUCUCCCCCCUCUUGCUGCCUUCCUCUGCGGUCCUCUCUUCACUACAGCCAGAAGUUGAGUUACAGGAAGAUUCGCCGAGAUUUAUCGCUUGGCCCCAAACUUGGAGAGCCUCGUUGUCAUAAACAGCCGUCUAUUGUCUAGACUUUUAUCUCCGGGUAUGGAUCUGGAUCUUGCAUUAGUGAGGCUCUGGGGAUAUGGACUGUCUCCGUGGUGUGUGCAGUGCAGCCGGUGGCUGCCGACGGUCACUGGGGGUUUGUUUGGGUCAGUUUAGAAGCAUGAACAAAUCUGUUCUUGGAGCUGUGCAGGUAUACCUAAGUAUCCAAUGGAGGAAGCCUGGGAUGGAGAAGGUCUCUUUCUUUGCCUGAGAAUGUUCUGGUGCGUGUAUGUGUGUGUUGGGUGAGAAUUUGUCAUGGUGUGCUUUGUUCUGGGCAUUUUAAGUGUUCCUGUCUGGGCUUUUUCGGGUUUUAUUAACCUGCAUCCGCUUGGCUGGUUUAUGUCCCUUCCAAGCAGAUCAUCUGGUGUUUUUCAGUAUCAAAGUCUGUUGUGUGUGUUGGCUUCUUUGGGGAAACGGUUUGGGUUGAUACCUUCUCAGCCCCUUGCCCCCUCAGGUUCUCCUUUCCACCAUAUUCACAGCUUUGGCCUUCACAGGGUGUCCGGCUCUGCCUCACUCUUUUCAAGUCCCCCCAAAUCUCCAAAGAGCCUGGCAGUUUUCUGUCACAGUCACAGAAAACACUGUUGCAGGGUAAGGCCUGGGUAUGACAGUCUUUCCCACACUAGGGGGAAGCAUCUCAGCUAAUAACCCCUAACUUGCUGGGGCUCUCCUUCACAAGCUGAAGGGCCAUCAGGAGGGGCUUCUCAGUCCAUUUCAACCAUUUGGAAUACUGUGAAAAGAAUUCUAGGCCCUGCCAAAGAAGGCCUGUCACCCCCUCUAUGAGGAUUCCUGACAGCAGAUGUCCCCACCUUGGCUACCUUCAGCCCCUAUCCAAAGAAUCCAGGCACUUUGAGACACAUUGCCUGUGGGCAAAACCUUUAUCUCUUCAGAUCCCAGUGACAGACAUUGUGUGGAAAAAUCAGGAUCAAGCCCCUUUGUUAUCCAUAUAAGAUACUGAGUAGGAAGACAUCAAGAUAGGGGGCCUGGUCUCUCUAUCAGCUGGCCCUUUCUGCAGCUCCUGGCUGCUGCCACCCAGGCCUCAGCUCCACUUCAGGUAUCAUUUAGACUGGAGACAUUCCCAAACAGAUAGGUAGGAGUGGAAUUGAGCUGGUUCUAGAGGCCAAUUUUCCAGUUAGCAAAGUAGAGGUGACAAUAAAGUUAGGGUGCAGGAGAAUUAGAACAUUGGGUUUAGCCAUCAUCACUCUUGAAGCAUCCAACCUCCUUCCCUCCCCUUGCUAUAGAAUUCCAAUUUCGAAAGAAAUAAUUAGGCCUUAAGAUGGCUCCAUGAGCACAAGUAAGAUUCAGAGAAAAGGAGGUAAGUCCUUAAUAGAUACUCCCCACACCAAUAAGCCCCCUCUUAACUUCACCCCACUCCUAAUCUUCUCUCUACCCUGGAAGGAAGGAAAGAAUCAAGCAUCCAGGUUUAGUCUCCUUUCUCCCAAGCUGUACCCAUCACCAAUUGCCUGCCGAUCGCCACAGCUAUCAGGCCAACUGCCGGUCUACGCCGGUCUACUCCGUAUCUUGAAGCCUGUCUCAGGCUCCGCCUUACUCUCCUGCGCCUGGCCUUCCUCCAUUUCUGCUUACUAGCUCUCUGAACCAAGAAAGACCUAAGCCAGCUUCUCCACACUGAAGGCCAGGAUCGGGUCCUUCUCCACUCCGCUGCUGUAGAACGGAAGGGAAUUACAAGUCUGCAGGGGCGAUGGGGAGUAAAGACAUCGUGCCCAGGGUUAGAGACAAUGGUGAAACAUACAGAAGACAGGAAGAGGUGGGGGCAGCACCAACUGGUAGAGAGCGGAGCCAGAGGCAGAAAAGAAAAGUUUCCUGGAGUAUUCAUUAGUUGACUUCCCUGCUCACAGCUUCCUGGGGCUGCAGAAUUCACCCCCAAUAAAGGAAGGAGGGGGGCCUUCGUUUUUUAAAAGUCCUGUAUUUACAAGACCAGAAAUGCCAGUGCUAAGUCCUUCUAAAGAGAAAAGCUGAACAGGAGGACCGACGCCUUCCUUAUAAGACCUCAUCCACCAAGUCUCCACAACCCAAGUGGCCUUACGCUGAGAACUAAGCCUCUUGUUUAAGUGAAAGCAACACCCAUUGCCCCUUAGGCUAAGAAGGGUCAAUGAAGAAAAGUCUUAAUUCAGGCCAGCGGGAAGAGGCCCUAGCUCACAAUGUGACCGACCCAGAAGGAAGGAACUCCGGGAUAAACCCGAACAGACGCCAAGGCAGUCGCUUCUGGAGGUUGGGCCCUUGAAGGCCUCCUCGAGGCCUCCUGGGCUUCUUUGCUCUCCUUAUCAUUCUCAUCUUUAUGAUGAGACUUGUUAACAUGACCGGCGAGCUGACCACGCACAUCUAUCUAUACCGCACGCGCUCAGCCAAGCAGCCGCCGGCGGUGGGGGGAAGGGGGAGCAGGACUGGGAGGCUCUAAUUAAUUGAUUCCUUUGGACUGUAAAAUAUGGCCGCGUCUACACGGAACCUGUGGACUCAUAAACAAUAUGUCUGCUGAGUGUGAGUGCACUGUCUCUUACAGAAUCUUUCUGUAGGCAUAUGUAUUAGCGUCCGGAUUUGAAAGACUCAAGUAACAUUCUCCCCCCCUCCCCAAACCACAACACAGUUCAGUGCUGGAAAAUGGAUCUGCUAAAAUUUGUGCUAUGGGGUUGGUUUUCUCUGCUGCUUGUGUAGACCCAGUGAUUGGCUUCUGACUAGCUAAGUGUUAGGAUCAACAUCCAUCGUAGCCCCUUCUGAGAAGGCCUGAAGCCUUUGCCCUGCGUGGGAGCAGAAUGGGCCCAGGUUCCUUGCUUCAUGAUACUGCCUAGGCUUGAGAGUAUACAAUAUUUUUUAACCGACCUAAAGGAGCCCGUGCACACCUUUACAUGCUUCUCCAGAUCACUGUCUACUCCUUUCCUACCUGGCUGCAUGGAGUUGGCAUGUUCGCAUUAGGCCUAGAAGAGUGCAUUUGUGACACAUGAUGUGACCUAAUUAGAUAGCUAUAACAAUUCUAUCUAGUCAUGAUUCUAUAUGGAAUCCUGCUGUUCCCAACAGACUCCAGCGUCAGACAAGAGACACAGGAUGGGGUGGGGGUGAAUUAAAAGUGACCACUUAGAGAAUAAUAUUUGUUGACAUACAUGGCUGUUUCAAAGACAGAAAUUCUAGACAGAGGGGAAAAAAGCAGCUAUGGAGAUUGCCAUUACUAAUGCCAGCACAUCUUUCUGGCCUUCCAUGAUGCUCUUAAACUUGAUUCUAGUUUCUACACUCAGCUACAUCAGAGAGGCUUCCUGUCUUUCCAGACCUUCAGCUCUGGCUUUAAUAUUUAUUUUUAAAUGUUUAUAAUAAAAUGAGUCUAAAGAAUGUGCCAAUAUAAUUUACAAAAAAAUUUAUAAUGUUUUUCAUAUUCUGGGUAGACAUACACUUUGUAUUUAUACAAGAAUAUGAUACAAUUUGCACUGAGUUUUUUCUGCUAUAUUAAUAUCUGGAUACAUUUUCAUGCAAUGGUUCUUCAUGUUAUGGAAUAUAGAAGCAUGUAACUAAAUGA